rnacentral:rRNA from 1 species
GACGAACGCUGGCGGCGUGCCUAAUACAUGCAAGUCGAACGCACUCUCGUUUAGAUUGAAGGAGUUUGAUCCUGAUUGAUAAACAUGUGAGUGAGUGGCGGACGGGUUAGUAACACGUGGGUAACCUGCCCUAAAGUGGGGGAUAACAUUUGGAAACAGAUUCUAAUACCGCAUAAAACCUAACACCGCAUGGUGUGGUGUUGAAAGAUGGUUUCGGCUAUCACUUUAGGAUGGACCCGCGGUGCAUUAGUUAGUUGGUGAGGUAAAGGCUCACCAAGACCGUGAUGCAUAGCCGACCUGAGAGGGUAAUCGGCCACACUGGGACUGAGACACGGCCCAGACUCCUACGGGAGGCAGCAGUAGGGAAUCUUCCACAAUGGACGAAAGUCUGAUGGAGCAACGCCGCGUGAGUGAAGAAGGUUUUCGGAUCGUAAAACUCUGUUGUUGGAGAAGAAUGUAUCUGAUAGUAACUGAUCAGGUAGUGACGGUAUCCAAACAGAAAGCAACGGCUAACUACAUG